UACAGAGGUCUCAAGCGUUGUUCGGAUUCAUUGGGCGUAAAGGGUGCGUAGGUGGCGCUGUAAGUCAGGUGUGAAAUUUCGGAGCUUAACUCCGAAACUGCAUUUGAUACUGCGGUGCUUGAGGACUGGAGAGGAGAUUGGAAUUCACGGUGUAGCAGUGAAAUGCGUAGAUAUCGUAAGGAAGACCAGUGGCGAAAGCACUCUGCUGGGCCGACACUGACACUGAGAGACGAAAGCUAGGGGAGCGAAUGGG
rnacentral:rRNA from 1 species